rnacentral:rRNA from 1 species
UAAGCAUAUCAAUAAGCGGAGGAAAAGAAACCCAACAGGGAUUGCCCUAGUAACGGCGAGUGAAGCGGCAACAGCUCAAAUUUGAAAUCUGGCUCUUUCAGAGUCCGAGUUGUAAUUUGCAGAGGGCGCUUUGGCUUUGGCAGCGGUCCAAGUUCCUUGGAACAGGACGUCACAGAGGGUGAGAAUCCCGUACGUGGUCGCUAGCUAUUGCCGUGUAAAGCCCCUUCGACGAGUCGAGUUGUUUGGGAAUGCAGCUCUAAAUGGGAGGUAAAUUUCUUCUAAAGCUAAAUAUUGGCCAGAGACCGAUAGCGCACAAGUAGAGUGAUCGAAAGAUGAAAAGCACUUUGGAAAGAGAGUCAAACAGCACGUGAAAUUGUUGAAAGGGAAGCGCUUGCAGCCAGACUUGCUUGCAGUUGCUCAUCCGGGCUUUUGCCCGGUGCACUCUUCUGCAGGCAGGCCAGCAUCAGUUUGGGCGGUGGGAUAAAGGUCUCUGUCAUGUACCUCUCUUCGGGGAGGCCUUAUAGGGGAGGCGACAUACCACCAGCCUAGACUGAGGUCCGCGCAUCUGCUAGGAUGCUGGCGUAAUGGCUGUAAGCGGCCCGUCUUGAAACACGGACCAAGGAGUCUAACAUCUAUGCGAGUGUUUGGGUGUCAAGCCCGAGCGCGUAAUGAAAGUGAACGGAGGUGGGAACCCGCAAGGGUGCACCAUCGACCGAUCCUGAAGUUUACGGAAGGAUUUGAGUAAGAGCAUGGCUGUUGGGACCCGAAAGAUGGUGAACUAUGCUUGAAUAGGGUGAAGCCAGAGGAAACUCUGGUGGAGGCUCGCAGCGGUUCUGACGUGCAAAUCGAUCGUCAAAUUUGGGCAUAGGGGCGAAAGACUAAUCGAACUAUCUAGUAGCUGGUUCCUGCCGA